rnacentral:rRNA from 1 species
UACGUAGGGUGCGAGCGUUAAUCGGAAUUACUGGGCGUAAAGGGUGCGCAGGCGGUUCUGCAAGUCAGGCGUGAAAGCCCCGGGCUUAACCGUGGAAGUGCACUCGAAACUGCAUAGCUAGAGUCCUGGAGAGGAAGGUGGAAUGCUUGGUGUAGAGGUGAAAUUCGUAGAUAUCAAGCGGAACACCGGUGGCGAAGGCGGCCUUCUGGACAGUGACUGACGCUGAGACGCGAAAGCGUGGGGAGCAAACAGG